rnacentral:rRNA from 1 species
CACUAUGCUUCGCCCUAAACAUUGAUAGCUUUACACAACCCCUAUCCGCCUGGAAACUACGAGCAACAGCUUAAAACCCAAAGGACUUGGCGGUGCUUUAGACCCACCUAGAGGAGCCUGUUCUAUAACCGAUAACCCCCGUUUAACCUCACCUUUCCUAGUCAUUCCCGCCUAUAUACCGCCGUCGCCAGCUUACCCUGUGAAGGCCCCCUAGUAAGCUUAAUUGGCACAGCCCAAAACGUCAGGUCGAGGUGUAGCGUAUGGAAAGGGAAGAAAUGGGCUACAUUCCCUGUUACAGCGAAUCACGGAUAAUAAUACUGAAACGUGCAUCUAGAAGGAGGAUUUAGCAGUAAGCAGAAAGCAGAGCGUUCCGCUGAAAUUGGCCCUGAAGCGCGCACACACCGCCCGUCACUCUCUCCAAACAUGUCUUUUUAAAUUUAACUUAAAACUUUCCACUAACACAAGGGGAGGCAAGUCGUAA